rnacentral:lncRNA from 1 species
AAUUCUUGAAACUUAAAGUACAUAUAAGGUGGGGAUGACACUUCCUAUACUUCUACAGUGACCAGUCACCAGUGGAGAUACAAAAGAAAACAAGUCUCAGUAAAAAUUGGAUUUUCCUAGGUUGAGGAACUUCCCUUGAAUUAUCAUAAUAACAGUCGUCAGAUUUGUCCCCCAUGUUCUACAUUCAGUUUAAGUAAUUUAUAUUCAUUCAUUCAUCGACUACUUAUUAUAUAUUUUAUAGUAUGUCCCCAUAAUAUUUCCUCUGGUUUUAGUGUCUUGCACUUAGAUAAUACCCAACUUUUAUUUAUCUAUCUUUCCAUCUCCAACUAUGCUUUUAAAACAUACUUUCAUAUUUAGAAUGGAUAAGCAAAGAGGUCCUACAAUGUAAAACAGAGAACUAUAUCCAGUCUCUUGGGAUAGACCAUAUUGGAAGAUAAUAUGCGAAAAAAGAAUAUAUAUAUAUGUAUGGCUGGGUCACUAUGCUGUACAGCAGAAAUCGACCUAACACUGUACAUCGACUAUCUCCUAAUAAAAAAAUAAAUUAAAAAAUACUUUCAAGCUUUCUUCAUAAAAUAUCAAACUAGAAGUUAGCUAAUAAAGGUAGCUGAUAUUAAACUUUUUCAAACUGCUCAUAUCUCAGCUUUAAAAAUUACUAAUCUCUGCUGUAUUUAGGGUUACCAGGAUACAUAUAUAAGCAUAUCACAGGACAGUCCUAUAACAUAAUUUACAGAUAAAUCUCAUGUUAUAAAGAAUUCUUACCUUGGCAAAAGGAUUCAUUGUAUGGUUCCUUUUAAAAUUGAAUUCCCCUUGUGAAUUUAGUAUGUUUUAAACAAAACCAACUAGUAUCCAUGAGGACGCAGGUUCAAUCCCUGGCCUCGCUCAGUGGGUUAAGGGUCCGGCGUUGACAUGAGCUGUGGUGUAGGUUGCAGAUGCUGCUCAGAUCCCACAUUGCUGUGGCUGUGGCAUAGGCUGGCAGCUGCAGCUCCAAUUCGACCAAAGCCUGGGAACUUCCACAUGCCUUGGUUGUGGCCUUAAAAAAGCAAAAUAAAUAAAUAAAUGAAUGAACUGAGGGGGGAAAAAAACAGUUUUUAAAACUAAGAUGAGAGAGAUACACCACCCAAAGGAAAAUGGAGAUGAAGUAAUUAUCCAGCUAAUCUGAAAACUGGAGACAUCCAGGAAGCAGAACUUAAACCAACUCCUCUUAACCAGCUCCCAUCUUUCCUUCCAACAUCUGGCUUUCAAAAAAGGUUUUUCUUACAACCGGUCUCAAACAUGACCUUUAAUGUUAAUGGAAAUCUGGGAGUACAUUUUUCAUGGAUCGUUUCUGUUUUCCAAUCACUAUCAAAUCCAUAUUAGGUGAUCAUAAUUUAAAAGAGUAUUUUUUCCACCCACUGAAAAAGAGAGACAGUUAUUCUCAUGAAGACCAUGGCUGUGGACUGACUUCAUUAGAAUAUAUCCUAUGAAAAACUAUUAAAAAAAAAAAAAAAGAUGGGUCUCUUGAAUCAAUUAGUUGAUUCCAAUAAGUUACAAACGAUAGUACAUGUUCUUUUAAUCACGAUUUUUCUCUAUGUACCUAAAAAAAAUUGCCAUGUUCAAAAAUAGCACUUUUGUUAUUUAUGCUUAUUUAUGCCCAUGUAACAGUAAAUCUAACACAAAUAACCAAAGUGGCUUUGGGCUGCUCUUAGACUCAGUACCCACAGCUGUAAAGUGAGAAGGUCUCCAGAGAUCAUUCCAGCUUUAAAAUUCUAGGAGGUAAAGACCUCUUUCUUUAAAAAGCAAGCUUUUUAUCUAGAUUGAACCCAAAUGAUUCGACUACUGGACUUUGAAUUGAGCAACACGAAAGUGUUACUCAAGAGUCAAGUUACACAUUUUCUAUUUCUCAUUAAUAAAUAAAACAUAUUAAAAUACAAAAUUUAACAAGAUCCGGCUAAACUUCAUUAAAUAUUGCUUACGGGGAAGAAGAUUUCCCACCCUCCCAACCAGGGAAAGCAGAAGCCAAAUUCCUAAAAUGCCAGAGCUAAGAGGGACAGCAGAGGUCUUCAGCUAACGCCGUCACUUGACAGAUAAAGAAACUGAGUCACUGAGAGGCCCCCAUGCUCGCAAAAGGGUGAGCUACCAAUUUUCUUCUCUUCCACUUCUGUAUGCUGCUUCAAUCACUAUGUGGCAUAGAGCGAAAUGCUACAUCAGUAAACAAAGGAAUAGAAGAAAGUAAUUCCAUUACCAGGUCACUAAAUAAUUUAGAGCCUAAUUUUUUUUUUUUAAUGCAAAGACCUUAUGUUCAGAAACUUACAGUUCAAAGUACAUUAAGUAAAACCAUGUCCAUAUGCAGAUAUGUCUUCUCCCAUAGGCAUCUUAAGAAAUAGCAAAGAAAAAAAUAAUUUAUCAUCAGCUCCUAGAAAACAAAAACUGAAAUUAAAAGAAAGAAUGGAGUAAAUCUAAAUUGUAUAUUUUCAUUCCUUCUAAAAGGAUUAAAUAACAGAAUUCUAAAUGGUUUGUUUGUACUUUCCAUGCAAUAUGUAGAUUAACCAUGAAAUUCUGUUUGGGACACUUUGACAUCUGUUUUCAGUGCAUUACAAUGAAAUCUGGGGACUUGAUACAUACAUUUGCUGUAAUAAAACUGUCACUAAUCAGUGUUUUCCAAAAUAUUGCCCAUAACUAUUACUAUUCAGUAGUCUCAUUUGCAUGAUCUAAUAUUGUUGCUACAUCAUGUUUUUUCCUGACAAUGUGUUAGCUGGUCCCAGGCACAUGGUCUAAAAUGGCUGCAAACCACUCAGUAAGCCCAGCACUUCCAUGGUACUCUGUACAUACACAUGCAAUCUGCCUCAGAAUUGAACUAGUACUUCAUCCUACACCACAUCUUUUCCCUGUAACUGGAAUACACAAGGUUGAAUUCACAUCCCUGGGUGGGAAAAACUCAACAACAAUAAAAAAGCCCACAUCAAGGAGGAAAUUAUGCCUCAAGGAGCUCCCACCACAGAAGAUGUAAACACAAUCCUAAUUCAGAAGUCCCUUAAACAAAUCUGUAAAAAUAUUGUUUGAAUAGUGAAUGCAGAGUCUAUCCUUAACUUAAAUAACUGCUAUGAAAUAUAGAAAAAGACUGGAUGAGACUUUAAAAUUGAGUCUACUUCCUUUUUUUCUAGGAUUAAUAAAUAGCUGUAUCAGUACAGGUACCAAGCAAGAAACACCAGCUCACAAGGUGUCAACAUACCUUCUGGAUAUUAGAUUGCACAAAUGUUUCCAUUUCAUACUGCAAAUAUCUGCUAUGUCACGUACAAAACUUAGAUCUCAGGAGAAAGUAAUUCUGAGAGCUCAAACUUUACCAAAAAACAUAAACUUAUGAAAAACAAUUUGUCUACCUAGGCCGAUUCAAAAUGAAUUCCAUGUUUUAUCAGUACUUGGAAUCAUAUUCAUAUUGCCUUAACAGUCCAAUAUAAUUUCAUUUUGUCCUCCUAUGAACUCAUCUUAAACCUGAAAUAUGUUUCUCCAUACACAUGUUUUAUAUUAUACAAAUGCUGGAUACAAAAAGCAGAUUAAUUGUAGGCUGUGUUUGUUAGUACUAAGAAGUCAUUUCAAAUGUUCCAAAAGGGAUUAAUGUAGUAUAACAAGUCUGUUUAAUUAUUCUAAGACCAGUGAUCCUCAUAUUACUGUAAGCAGCUUUUCCCUUAUUUAGAGACUGUAAAUAGAACAGAUAUUGUUACAUGAUAACUAUAAGUCAUAACCAAAAAAAUUAAUGCUUUACCAUCAGGAAAUUUAAAGAAAUAUGUUAGCAUCUCCAAGAGACUAUGAAAGGAAACCAGUAUUUAAUAACCUUGCAUGCAUCCCCAUUUCAGGUCAAUAUCAAGUUUAAAUCAAAAAUGCAAACAAAGCUUUUCAAGUGUAUUAGCAAGACAAAAUAGCAAAUCCUUCUACCAUCAAGAGCAAUCCAGUUUACAUAUGUUUAAAAUGUUGGAUGCACAUUUUAAUGUAUUAAAUAAAAUACAUGCUUCUUGUUUUUUGUGUAUCUCAUGAACAGAAUGGCAAUUAAAAACCAAGUAGGUUCUCAAAAAGAAAAGGCAUGACGUAGAUUAUUAAAAAUUAUGUGCCAGAAUCUAAGCAAGCUAAUCAAUGUUCCAAUUCUACUUUCAGCACACCCUAGUUACCCUUUAACAGAUGAACAAACAGUGAGAUAACUUUUCCUAUUAACUCCUGGCUAAAACCUCUAAGUAUUAUUAUAAAAUGCUUCGUAGAGAAAUAUGAUUUUUUUUUUCUUUGCACUGCAUCAGUGUGACAUGUGAUUUAAGGUAUCUCCUUUGCAGAGACUGUGGAUACAGGCUAAUCUGUCCACAUUUCAAACCUGUUGCCCAAAGCUAGUGAGAGGAGCAACCCACUGGCUAUGGACAAGAAGCACCAUGACUCAUUCCCCAAGGAUCUGGCCCCACAAAAGAGGCUUCUGGACCACCUGGAUCCAAACAGCCAGGGCUGCUAAACUCUAACACGAAUCCCGAACUAGUUUGGAAAGAAGAAGCACAUGUUUUAACCAUUUUCCAUUUGGCUUUUAGUUGUUCUUUGACAAAGUAUAACCACUUUAAAUAAGAAAUAUUAACUUCUUUUCCUGUAAAAAUUAUUUAAUUAAUUUUCUUAACACCAAAAACAGGAUGAGAGGGAAAGAGUGACUUAUAAAGGGGAAGAUUUAAGUGGCAAUAAGGUCAAAACAAUUCAUGUAACUAAUGAAACACAUUAAAUUUCAAUCCAACCAGGGAUCUCUUUAAAUUAAAACACUUUCAGACUUAAGAGCCAAAAAACCAGCAGCUUGCUCUUCAAGAACCAUCCAGUCCAUAUUAUCACCACUUCUGUCCAACCAAAUCUAAAAUAUAAGUAUAGUUCUCCCAAAUGUGGGCAAUUUAUUUUAUUUUAUUUUUUUUGUAAAUAAGCAUCUUAUGUUCUUACUAGAAUGUGAUAAACUACAAGCAUUUCCUAAGACACCCUUCUUCUGACACCAAAGCUAUUUACUCAACGAAAGACUAAUAAAUCUAUUUUAUUCCUUCCAGCUACUCCUAGAUUGAUCAGGAAAUUAAUUCUCUGGUAAAUUUGAUAUAAAGGUAACUCCAGAUAUAAAGGCCUGCAAAAACUGUACAGUAAUUCUAAUUUAAGUAGCUCCAAAAACUAUACCCAACUAGCUAAACGUCAUGUGCCAACUAACAAGUAUCAAGAUACAUCAUUCAUUGUCUCUUCGGAAUAUCCUAUCACCUGAGAUACACACAAACUAACGGGUGACCUCUUGUUGCAACACCUGCUUCACCCAUCCUCUUCAACCCUGGGCAUUUUCUCCGAAUAUCUACACUCUGCUCUGUUCCCUUAUCUAGAGUACUAAUGGCUCUUAUUAACAUUAUUGCUUUUACUCACAUGAAUUAUUUCAUAUAAUCCUAAAACAGCUCUGUGAAGUGGGCAUUUUAAUCCCCACUUUCCAAAACAGAAAACCAAAGCACAUGGCACUUAAGUGACUUAGCCAAGGUCACUAAGCUGAUAAAAGGCAGAACUAAGACAAGAACUAAAAUGUCAGAUCCAUGCACUUAUUUCUAUCUCUGUAUGCUCUACAAAAACUAAAAGGCAGGAGGAAGGGAG